ensembl:lncRNA
CCGCUUCGUGCCGACGGCGACGGGAGCGUGGUGCGACCUCUGCUGCCGCUUCGUCGUCUCGCAGGGCCUGCGCUGCGCGGGGUCUUCUUAAAGGUUCAUCAAAUGACUGAGAACUGUGGAGCAGAUUGGAGGUGGAGCUCUCCUUUCCUUCCCCAUUCUUUCUGUGGGUAGUUGUUUAAUGACACGCCAUUCUCAGAUUUUCCUUUAUUUUGUUGGAAGUCCAAGAUGACCAGGAUUUGUCGGGCUCCAUAUGGGCAGGAUAGGCAGCACACUGCAGCCCAGGGUUUGCGUUCCCAUGGGUUUGCUGUUUUGAGCCCAUUUUCCACUCAUUUGCAGAGAACAGUAACUCCUCAUCUGGAAGAUGCAGACCCUGCUGUGAAGUGCUGUAAGUGAACCAGAUGCAAAGGAAAGCACCGAGAGGCAAACUGGCUUUCUUUGUCACCCAAGAGGGCACUGGCCAAGCCUGAAUCAGGGCUUAGCUCAUGUCCAGCACUCACAGUCAUCCUUUCCUUCUGCUGCUAAACAGCAUUUACUGGAACCCCCGGCAUGGAGCUCUGUAUCCAGACAGUUAAAUGCAGGUCAGCAGUGCUGCACAACGGAAGGACGGGAGUUAUGCUGCUUUUAGCCGGAUGGCUUGAUGAGCUGCAAGGCAUGUCUGUUGUCAGUACUCAGUGCAGCACAGAGACAAAUGCCUUUUUGAUUUUUCUCCAUAAAGGAAGAGUACGUCUUGUGUAGUAGCUUGGGUACAAUGCCCUGACAGUGAGCAUAGGAGCUUGGAAGAAAGUAUAAAGGGAUACAGUGAAAGUUGAGCUCUGCAACAUCUCUUUUUCUGUUGCACUCCAGUUUCUAUGAUCCAAUUGCUGCCAUGGCUAAAAUAAGAAAUAGGGGAUGAGAAACAUCCUGCUCUUCUGAGAAUAUGCAUAUAAGGGACGUUGUCAAUCUCAGGUGCAAAUAGCACGUGAUCACUUGUACAAUAGGCAGAGAUCUAAUGAAGGCUUCUCAAGGUUUCCCUGUAGCCUAUAAAGUAGUCAGGCUACUCUACUUUUGAUGUAAACAGACC